GCCGAUGUAGCUCAGUGGUAGAGCAAUCGAUUCGUAAUCGAUCGGUCGCGAGUUCAAAUCUCGCCAUCGGCU
rfam:Gloeocapsa sp. PCC 7428, complete genome.